GAUGAACGCUAGCGGCAGGCUUAAUACAUGCAAGUCGAGGGGCAGCAUGUCCCGCAGCAAUGCGGGAUGAUGGCGACCGGCAAACGGGUGCGGAACACGUACAGAACCUUCCUUCGAGCGGGGAAUAGCCCAGAGAAAUUUGGAUUAAUACCCCAUAGUAAAUUGAAAAGGCAUCUUUUUAAUUUUAAAGAUUUAUCACUUGAAGAUGGCUGUGCGGCUGAUUAGGUAGUUGGCGGGGUAACGGCCCACCAAGCCUGCGAUCAGUAACUGGUGUGAGAGCACGACCAGUCACACGGGCACUGAGACACGGGCCCGACUCCUACGGGAGGCAGCAGUAAGGAAUAUUGGGCAAUGGACGCAAGUCUGACCCAGCCAUGCCGCGUGGAGGAUGAAGGUCCUCUGGAUUGUAAACUUCUUUUAUAUGGGACGAAAAAAGGGCUUUCUAGCUCACUUGACGGUACCAUAUGAAUAAGCACCGGCUAACUCUGUGCCAGCCGCCGCCGUAAGAC
rnacentral:rRNA from 1 species